rnacentral:rRNA from 1 species
GACGAACGCUGGCGGCGUGCCUAAUACAUGCAAGUAGAACGGAGAAGGCGGAUUUUGCUUCUCGGGAUGAGUUGCGCACGUGUGAGUAACGCGUAUGUAACCUGCCUGGUAUCGGGGGAUAACUAUUGGAAACGAGAGCUAAUACCGCAUAUGAGCAGUUGUUGCAUGACAUUUGCUUAAAAGUUGCAAUUGCAUCACUACUAGAUGGGGCUGCGUUGUCUUAGUAUGUUGGUGGGGUAACGGCUUCCCAAGGCGACGAUACAUAGCCGACCUGAGAGGGUGAUCGGCCACACUGGGACUGAGACACGGCCCAGACUCCUGCGGGAGGCAGCAGUAGGGAAUCUUCGGCAAUGGACGGAAGUCUGACCGAGCAACGCCGCGUGAGUGAAGAAGGUUUUCGGAUCGUAAAGCUCUGUUGUAAGAGAAGAACGAGAGUGAGAGUGGAAAGUUCACACUGUGACGGUAUCUUACCAGAAAGGGACGGCUAACUACGUG